AUGUCAGUCGCCGCGGUAAUACGAAGGGUGCAAGCGUUAAUCGGAAUUACUGGGCGUAAAGCGCGCGUAGGUGGUUUGGUAAGAUGGAUGUGAAAUCCCCGGGCUCAACCUGGGAACUGCAUCCAUAACUGCCUGACUAGAGUACGGUAGAGGGUGGUGGAAUUUCCUGUGUAGCGGUGAAAUGCGUAGAUAUAGGAAGGAACACCAGUGGCGGGUUUCAGGACUGUAACU
rnacentral:rRNA from 1 species